ACACACACACUCGAGAGGAUGGUGGCAUGAUAAAGGUUCAGAGAAGCCACCCAGGGUCCCAGGGCUCUGCUACAAACAAACAAACAAACCCAACUGCUUUUCCUGUCUCUUCUCAGGCCUCCUGAGGCGCACCCCAGGGCCUCCUACCUGCUUCCUGCACUGUGGAGGCCAUGGCCAGUCCCCGUAAGAUGCGUAAGAUGCCCAGGAAUGGCCAGAGAACGCCUGAGGUUGGGCCAGGUAGAGCCCCUCUAUGGUCCAGCAGCAGACAGGCAGUAGCCGACAUGAAGGAGUGACCCCAAAGGCCAGUGAGGAAGAGUCAUUUCCCUGAGAACUCGGGGGAGGGGAGAGCAGGCAGGGCCUCACAAUCCUGCUCUGUGCCAAGGUUCUUAGGUUCUGAGCCUAAGGCUCUGCCCCGGAGGAGGUGACACCAGCUGGAAUAUUUCAUCCCACUGCCAAGAGAUGUGAUCUAAGCCAGGACCUGGGAAAGAGGACCGGACCGUAGAGCCGUAGAGCUGUCACGUGAAGAUAAACUGCCACACAGCGGGAAACAGUACUUGGAAGAAGCAAUCAUUUUUACUGGGGAAGCCGGGUCCAGAAAAUAGACAAUGGCUUCGACAAAUCUCUUGAGGUCCCAACCCACAAGAUGGUGUCACCUACCACCCCGCCUUGGUCCUCCUCUUUAACUGUUCUGAAAUACCAAUCCCAUCUGAUCGAGGACCAAAGGGCCAGUGAGACGGCUCAGUGUACUCACUUGCUGCCAAGCCUGAUGACCUGGACCCGAUGGUGGGGAGAGACCCAACUCCAGACCCAUCAUCCUGUGAUGUCUCCACCCC